rnacentral:misc_RNA from 1 species
CGAGCGUCAUCAACAACCCUCAAGCACUGCUUGGCGUUGGGCCUCAUCGUCAUGGUGGACCCUAAAAUCAGUGGCGGUGCCAUUCGGUUCCCAGCGUAGUAAUAAACCCCUCGCUGCGGAAGCUCAAUGUGCCUCUGCCAGCAACCCCUAAAUUCUCAAGGUUUGACCUCGGAUCAGGUAGGGAUACCCGCUGAACUUAA